CCUACGGGCGGCAGCAGUGAGGAAUAUUGGUCAAUGGACGGAAGUCUGAACCAGCCAUGCCGCGUGCAGGAUGACGGCUCUAUGAGUUGUAAACUGCUUUUGUACAAGGAUAAUAGUUCUUACGUGUAGGCAGUUGAAUGUAUCGUACGAAUAAGGAUCGGCUAACUCCGUGCCAGCAGCCGCGGUAAUACGGAGGAUUCGAGCGUUAUCCGGAUUUAUUGGGUUUAAAGGGUGCGUAGGCGGUCGGAUAAGUUAGAGGUGAAAUGUCGGGGCUUAACCCCGUGCCUGCCUCUGAUACUGUUGGACUAGAGAGCGGAUGCGGCAGGCGGAAUGAGUAGUGUAGCGGUGAAAUGCUUAGAUAUUACUCAGAACACCGAUUGCGAAGGCAGCUUGCUAAUCCGCAUCUGACGCUGAGGCACGAAAGCGUGGGGAGCGAACAGGAUUAGAUACCCGUGUAGUC
rnacentral:rRNA from 1 species